rnacentral:rRNA from 1 species
AUACGUAUGGGGCAAGCGUUAUCCGGAUUCAUUGGGCGUAAAGCGCGUGUAGGCGGCUUGUUAAGUCAGAUGUGAAAACCGGGGGCUUAACCCGCGGCGUGCAUCUGAAACUGGCAGGCUUGAGUCUGGUAGAGGAAAGUGGAAUUCCUAGUGUAGCGGUGAAAUGCGCAGAUAUUAGGAGGAACACCAGUGGCGAAGGCGGCUUUCUGGGCCACGACUGACGCUCAGACGCGAAAGCUAGGGGAGCAAACAGGAUUAGAAACCCCAGUAGUCC